rnacentral:lncRNA from 1 species
UUCAGCAGUUGUUCUACAGGAAUGUUAUAAAGAGCUGUGGCAGUAUAUCUAAAAAGCGAGUUGAAUGCAGCUGUCUUCUGCAGGUAUGUUGGAAUUCAUAAACUUCCUAUAAAAAAAAUUGCAUUUGUUAUUGGAUGGAUGUUCAUGAUAGAAAUCAUAAUGAAAACCUGAUGAGAGUGUGUGCUUAGAUUCUGAUAUAGAAUAUUUAAAACUUCUUGCUACCUUUAAUUCUUCAGACCAUUUGUGUAUUUACCUAGAUCAGAAGCUUCAAUUUGCAAGCUUGAAUCUAACUUCUGGUUCUAUGGAAAACUUGAAUGUGAAACAAAUUUUCCUCAAACUUUUAGCUGACUUCGAUCCUCA